AUCAAAUAACCAGUAUAAAGAGCCUGCACUAUCUGUAUAAAAAUUACAAGUGUUUACCUGGCUUUUCUUACUGUCCUUCAGCAGGUGUUAGGUGCCUGGAUUUCUGUCAGCUGCCUUGGGUAAAAAGGGUCAGCUGUGAGCAGCCUAUCCUGAGCAGGCCUCAUGAGCAUUACAUUGGCUGCUGCCUUCUGUUUCUGAGGAGAGAACAUGCUAGACUGGAUUCAGCUGAGAUGGCAGGUGUUCAGAGUUAAUGAAAAGAAAGCAAUCAACCAGCAAACAUUCAUCAUACAAGUCUGGUACAAACUGGGACUGAGAAGCCCGUUGCACAAGGAAGCAGGCAUCCAUGUUUCUCACAGCCCUUGCAUAAAGAUAAAUUGCUACCUGGAAGAGUCCUCUGAAUGACGGCCAGCAUCCCUAGAGUGUGGGCAAGUGUGGGAAAGGUGAGGCUGCCUGGACAACGUGCAGGCAUAAGAAGAGUUGCAUCACCCAUGCUGUCUUGCAGAUGUUGCCCACUCUGUACUGCACCCAAUGUGGGAUACACUGUCUUAGAGAGCCCCAUGUCCUGAGGUCACACUGUGCCUGUGCUGUGCUUCUCAGGGAAGGGA